rnacentral:rRNA from 1 species
GUCUAUGGCCAUACCACCAUGAACACGCCUGAUCUCAUCUGAUCUGGGAAGCUAAGCAGGGUUGGGCCUGGGUAGCACUUGGAUAGGAGAAAAAGAUACUGUAGGAGACCAGGUAGUACUGCAGCGG